UACAGAGGGUGCAAGCGUUGUUCGGAAUUAUUGGGCGUAAAGCGCGUGUAGGCGGCUUUGCAAGUCGGGUGUGAAAGCCCUCGGCUCAACCGAGGAAGUGCGCCCGAAACUGCAGAGCUUGAGUACCGGAGAGGAUGGCGGAAUUCCCCAAGUAGAGGUGAAAUUCGUAGAUAUGGGGAGGAACACCGGUGGCGAAGGCGGCCACCUGGACGGUAACUGACGCUGAGACGCGAAAGCGUGGGGAGCAAACAGG
rnacentral:rRNA from 1 species